rnacentral:rRNA from 1 species
AACGAACGCUGGCGGCGUGCCUAACACAUGCAAGUCGAGCGAGAAAAGGGGAGCAAUCCCCUGAGUACAGCGGCGCACGGGUGAGUAACACGUAGGUGAUCUCCCCUCGAGCCCGGAAUAACCUACCGAAAGGUGGGCUAAUACCGGAUAUGACCACGGGAGUUUCGGCUCCUGCGGUGAAAGAUGGCCUCUACCUGUAAGCUAUCACUCAAGGAUGAGCCUGCGGCCAUUAGCUAGUUGGUGAGGUAACGGCUCACCAAGGCGAUGAUGGCUAGCUGGUCUGAGAGGAUGGCCAGCCACACUGGGACUGAAACACGGCCCAGACUCCUACGGGAGGCAGCAGUGGGGAUAUUGCGCAAUGGGCGAAAGCCUGAGCAGCGACGCCGCGUGGGUGAUGAA